AACUGUGUAGCGAGCACAGAGCGAACUAUUCUUUUGCCUUUUACAAAAGAAUACCGUGUGCUCUCCAUUUUAAGCGGCAUACGUCAAUUUUUGGAAGGGCGUUCCUCAUUUGUUAA